ACAGCAGCCGCCGCGGUAAUACGAAGGGUGCAAGCGUUAAUCGGAAUUACUGGGCGUAAAGCGUGCGUAGGCGGUUUGUUAAGUCUGUUGUGAAAUCCCCGGGCUCAACCUGGGAAUGGCAAUGGAUACUGGCAAGCUAGAGUGUGUCAGAGGAUGGUGGAAUUCCCGGUGUAGCGGUGAAAUGCGUAGAGAUCGGGAGGAACAUCAGUGGCGAAGGCGGCCAUCUGGGACAACACUGACGCUGAGGCACGAAAGCGUGGGGAGCAAACAGGAUUAGAGACCCCUGUAGUCCCUGUCUCUUAUAC
rnacentral:rRNA from 1 species